CGCAAUGUCAUGCCAUUGCUUGGAUCCUAACAUUCUCUAAGCAGAAGUCGUCUGGUGCAAGACGAUUCAGAGAGACUAAAUCUACGGAUACAGAAAUCGAUCGAUCGAGAGAGAUCGGGUGUCAUAGAGAGCGAUCCAGAGAGAUAGAGAGAUCGGGAAAGACCAAGAGUUUGAGAGGACAGGUUGCUGACACAAGUGCAAGAAAUAUUGCUCGAAUAUAGUUUCUGUACAGUUACAGUGCAAGCACAGAAAGAGACUGCUCCAGACAUGCAAUGCAAGGACAAGUUUCUCCUUCAGAGUGUAAAAACCAAUGAUGGUGCAACUCCAAAGGAGAUUACUCUAGAAGUGGUACUUACAUUCCACAAUGUUGUGGAUUCUGAUGUGUGUGGGUUCUUUAUGUCGAAUGCUAUUCAUUUGGGGGAUUAGGAUUGUGUUUAGUUCAAUGAAGAGGCAGGACAUGUGGUUGAGGAGUGCAAAUUCAGAGUGGUGUAUGUUUCUCCACCUCAGCCCCCUUCUCCGGUCUCAGAAAGGUCGGAGGAAGGGUCUUCACCAAGAGCUUCAAUAGUGGAGAAUGAAAAUCUUAAUGCUGCUGAGAUUUCCAAUGCUGCAAAAGGACUUUCAGAGCAGCUUGAAUCUCUGGAGAGAUCCGCAGAGGUAAAUGCCUUCAUGUGCAGAAACUAAAGUCUUACAUUAUAUGUUUACUAUUUUGCCACAUAUACCUCAUCCAGUUUCUGAGUUUUUCUUUGCAAUUAAGAGAGACUGAUAUGCAUUUUUUUAGGUCAAAUAUCUGUUACUUUGUACGAUAGAAGAGUGGGUGUACUUUUUGAAUUUUAAAGAAACGGAAGCCCAUAAGGAUGACAGGAACCUAACACUCUCCCAAAGCUCAUUAACCCACACUUGCAUCAAUAGAUUCAAAAUCUGAUGAUUUCAAGGGGGACCUUAUUAAGUCAUCAAUUUCAUUAAUUCAAGCAACAAAUUCAGAUGAGGUCUUACUUGCGUAUGAAAUGAAUGGAGAGGUAAAUUAUGAACAGCUUUGCGUUACAUGGUUUUCAAUUAUUAGAUCAGAUUUCUUCUGAUUUUCUUAUGCUAAAGCCUCUAAACAGGGAUCAUGGCUAUCCUAUGCAUACAAUUUUUCCUAAAUGUAACACGUCAAUCAAUUUUUACAGAUGAAGUGAUUGCUGUUCACUUUCAAUUUGAUGGCCUAACAGAUCAUGAACUUGGAUCCUGGAGAACCAGUAACAGCUUAUAAAAAAGACUUGCAGGA